CAAACCAACAGAGUCUCACUACAUCACUCGGGCUGGAGUGCAGUGGUGAGAUCACAGCUCACCAUAGCUUCAACUUCCUGGACUUAGAUGAUCCUCCCACCUCAACUUCCAGAGGAGCUGGGACUAAAGCCUUUCAGGUGCUUCUCAGGUUGGCUAUCCUUCGUGAAGACUUGCUACAAGGCUACCAUUGUGGGAGUAGUCCUGAUCAAUCACUGGUAAGUUAUUAUCAGUGCUUAUAAGUAAACGGAGAAAGCCGGUUGCUGGUUUGCACAGAGAAGCAGAAUAGAGCAGAGACAAACAGACACAGAAAGACCAAGACAGGGAGAAAGAGAGGUGAGAAACAAGCUAUCUGAUAACUUUUCAAUUUCAUGAGGUCCAGUUGUUCUUCCUGCAUCUGGAAACUGAAAUUUUUCUGUAUCAUUACAUAAAUCCAUUUAGUUUGAAUGCAUUUUCUUUCUUCUUUACAAUCAAAGUGCCCUGACUUGUUAUUUUCCC
rnacentral:lncRNA from 1 species